rnacentral:rRNA from 1 species
UACAGAGGGUGCAAGCGUUAAUCGGAAUUACUGGGCGUAAAGCGUGUGUAGGUGGUUAGAUAAGUUAGAUGUGAAAUCCCCGGGCUUAACCUGGGCACUGCGUUUAAAACUGUUUAACUAGAGUGCUGUAGAGGGUAGUGGAAUUUCCAGUGUAGCGGUGAAAUGCGUAGAUAUUGGAAGGAACACCAGUGGCGAAGGCGACUACCUGGACAGACACUGACACUGAGACACGAAAGCGUGGGGAGCAAACAGG